UCCGGCUUAUCACCGGCGGUUUCUUUAGAGUGCCCAACUAAAUGAUGGCAACUAAAGACGAGGGUUGCGCUCGUUGCGGGACUUAACCCAACAUCUCACGACACGAGCUGACGACAGCCAUGCAGCACCUGUCACUCGUCCAGCCGAACUGAAGGAAUCCAUCUCUGGAAUCCGCGACGAGGAUGUCAAACGCUGGUAAGGUUCUUCGCGUUGCGUCGAAUUAAACCACAUGCUCCACCGCUUGUGCGGGCCCCCGUCAAUUCCUUUGAGUUUCAACCUUGCGGUCGUACUCCCCAGGCGGGGUACUUCCUGCGUUGGCUGCGACACCGAAAGGGUAAGACCUCCCGACGUCUAGUAUCCAUCGUUUACGGCGUGGACUAC
rnacentral:misc_RNA from 1 species